CUUAAAUGAAUUGACGGGGACCCGCACAAGCAGCGGAGCGUGUGGUUUAAUUCGUUGCUACACGAAGAACCUUACCUGGGUUUGACAUAUAAGUUGUAGGGAACUGAAAAGGGACCGACCUUCGGGAGCCUAUACAGGUGUUGCAUGGCUGUCGUCAGCUCGUGUCGUGAGAUGUUCGGUUAAGUCCGCUAACGAGCGCAACCCUCGUCGUAUGUUAUAUGUGUCAUACGAGACUGCCGGUAAAAGCCGGAGGAAGGUGAGGAUGAUGUCAAGUCAGCAUGACCUUUAUAUCCAGGGCUACACACACGCUACAAUGGUCUGUACAAUGGGUAGCCAAGCCGCGAGGCGGAGCCAAUCCUGAAAGCAGGCCUCAGUUCAGAUUGCAGUCUGCAACUCGACUGCAUGAAGCCGGAGUUGCUAGUAACCGCAGGUCAGCAAUACUGCGGUGAAUACGUUCCCGGGUCUU
rnacentral:rRNA from 1 species